AUGUACAAGACCAAAAAUGUAAGUUUGGCUGGCAUCAACAAAAACACAGAGGAUUUACUUUCCAGGAAUUUUUCAUGUGCCUCCUCCUGGCACAGGAGCCUGUCCCAAACUGGACCCAUGGGAAAAACGAUGUUCAUUAAAAGGAAGAUGGGAGCAGACCCUGACCCAAUGGGACAAAGAAUGCUACUAUUAAUUUCAGCAAAGGAAAUACACAUUUCCCACAUGCUAAUUCAAGUAUACAGACAUCUGAACUCAACCAUGGAAGCUGGUGGCAGACUGUUCAACCUUUGGGGUGAUGAUCUAUAGGACAUUGUUUGUAGGCUGAUUUGAUAAAUGUUGCAUGCAUUGAAAGGGAGCUGCCCACUUUGGAAAAACCUAACUCGGUAAAUUCAUCUUGGUUCUGAAUACAUGUUUUGAGCUCCUUUUUGUCUUGAACUGGACACUUUAGACUGUGUCCUUGAUGGAU
rnacentral:lncRNA from 1 species